CUAUCAUGGCAUAAAGUGUUCUUCUUUAUGACACAAACCGGAUGACUUAUUGAGGGACCUCGAUGUCACUCAGAAUCCCUGCAUUCUGAUCUGUAACGACGUUUAAAAAUCCAGUCAUUCAUUCAUUCAUUGAUGGCUUGAUGGCUGGGGGGGAUCAGUGUAGGGCAUGAAGGUCCGUAGGCAGUUACUUAUUGUAUGUUUUAAUUUAUUGCUAACAUAACUUUAUACUGUAAUGCAAACAUCACAUAUGUAUGCCUGUGAUCGGAAAGGUUGUUGGUUCAAAUCCCCUGGUUGCCAGAAUAAUCAUAUCACUGCUGGGCUUAAUCUCAAUUUCUCUACAGACUGUCUGCUCUCUGAUCCUCACUUGUAUGUCACUUUGGACAAAAGCAUUUGCUAAAUAAAUGUAAAUUUAACGGACCCACAGGUGUUCCCAAGCCAGCCCUGAAACGUGUUCCCACCCGUUUCUUGGGUCCACCCUCAUGAGGACUAAAGGAACGUGGAUGAUGGAAAAUGUUUCAUCAUUAUGCACAUUGCCUCUCUGGGUGUUUUCAUGUACUUUUUAAAAUAUGUGUGUUUCUGGUAGGUAGGGAGUGUUUUGUGUGUAUUUUUCUAUGCUUGGGGCUGUUAUCUGUUUGUGUAUGUCCAGUGGCUGGGUGCAGAUAGCGUCUGGCCUCUUGUCCAGGCAGUCAGUGUCCAGGUGUGAGGGCAGAUCCUGCAGAUACUAGGACUCUGACAGGCAUCUCUUGCUGGUUUGUUGGCUCUCCUGCAACCUGACAAGAGGGUAUGCAUGCCCUCUAUAAAACAAUAGCACCAAAUAACUGUUACAACCCAACAUAUGGAGGGUCCCAGGGAUCCUCGAAACUACAGAUGCAAAGCAGGAAAUAACCCAGGAUGAGGCACCGUCAUAGGGCACACACAAUUUGAUGACUUCACAUGGGGACUGUGUCUGGAAACGAGAGAACCGGGAGGAAACCCCAUGAUGUCAACAAGUAAACUCCUCAUGCAUGGAUCCAGGCUGCAGACUUUAACUCCAGUCCUAGAUGUGUGAGGUAACAGUUCUAACCACUGUCUCAUCCCACUGUUGCAACCAUAUUUAGGUAAAUGUGUUGAAGUAUACUGCAUGUGGCAACAUGCUUGGUUUUAGAUACAGGUUAUGGUUUUGUGAUUAAAAAUUAAAUUUCUUUUUUUCAUUGACUGGAUCACAUAAUAUUCCUUUAACAGGAAAGUUUGUCUUUAUCCAGUUCAGAUUACAUUUGCGUCAGUAGUGA